GGAGCUGUAGCUCAGUGGUAGAGCAGCUGCUUUGUAUGCAGAAGGUCCCAGGUUCAAUUCCUGCCAUCUCCA